CCUACUUCGGCUCAGGUCAUGAUCUCGUGGUUCGUGGGUUCGAGUCCCACGUCGGGCUCUGUGCUGACAGCUCAGCUCUGUGCUUCGGAUUCUGUGUCUCCCUCUCUCUCUGCCCCUCCCCCUCUCGGGCUCUGUCUCUCUCUCGAAAAUUAAUGAAGCACAAUUUUUUUUAUUAUUAUUAAAAAGAAACGGAGAGAAAGAAGUGUGCAUCAGAGGGAACCACGCAGCGAAAAAUGGCGAAAACGUACUGAGUAUUCAGUGGAUUCGACACUGAGUAUUAACCCACUGCAGACACCAUGUGAAUGGUACCCCCCGGUCCUCAGGACAAACCCAGGGAGAAAAUUCUAGAGCUACAAAAACUGCAUCUUGGGGCGCCUGGGUGGCUCAGUCGGUUGAGCGUCCGACUUCGGCUCAGGUCACGAUCUCAUGGUUCGUGAGUUCGAGCCCCGCGUCGGGCUCUGGGCUGAUGGCUCAGAGCCUGGAUCCUGCUUCCGAUCCUGUGUCUCCCUCUCUCUCUGCCCUUCCCCCAUUCAUGCUCUGUCUCUCUCUGUCUCAAAAAUAAAUAAACAUUAAAAAAAAAAAAACUGCACCUUGGGAAGGCUGACGAUCUACCAAGGUCCCUCAGGAAGCAAGUGCAGAAAAUAUGUUGAGUUCGCGUCUUCCUGCCCCUAAAAUCAGUGUUCUCAACCCCCGUGGCAUUCUGCUGGCAGAAGUUUCUCCGUUCAAGAGGCUUUCUGAUGGUGCCUUAGAAGGAUCCAGAGGAACCAUGGACCCUCAGCGCGAUGCAGUGAAGUCCUCUUUGGGGUUUAUGGGAUCACACCAGCCCACUGCUGUCCACCAACCCAUCAUGGAGGUUGAAUGCUGCACAACAACCCGAAAUCAGGAAAUCGGGUCCGGCCAGGACGUUUGACUCUCCUACGUGGCCCGCUCUAUGGACAAGGGGGUGUCAGGGCUUCCUGCAACUCUGGAGGGUUUUCCUCAUCUGCACCUUCCCGCAGGUGGUCGUGACUCAUCUGGAGUCGAAGUCAGAUGGUAAAAAGCUCCAUUAAAAAUAAUUGGCAGUGACUGGACGGGGCUGAAUGCUCAUUUUAAGUCUGGUCUUGGCAAAGAAUUUGGUAGGCAAAUAGGG
rnacentral:lncRNA from 1 species